rfam:Homo sapiens chromosome 1, GRCh38 reference primary assembly.
UCCCUGGUGGUCUAGUGGCUAGGAUUCGGCGCUUUCACCGCCGCGGCCCGGGUUCGAUUCCCGGCCAGGGAA